AUGGGGCCGCUAGGACCGGCCGAGACACAGGGAGGCCAGGGCCCUGGGAAGCCCCACCCUCUGGGCCGGCGAGCAGGACCAGGGGAGCCCCCCAGGGUCGAGGGACCGCGGGCAGAACAGUUCUCCUGGAGCCUCCCAGAGGCCGCCUGCUUCUCUCCGUCCUCCGACGUGAUGCCCGUCUCUUCGGGAGGCAGCCUCGCGUGCCCUGCAGUCACAUCUGACACGCCGCGCUCACGUCCCGUGGCCCCGUCCUGUCGGCCCAGCGGUGCAGAGAGGGGACCGUGGGGUUGGCGGCCGCAGAGAGGGGACCGGGUGCUGGAGGGAGGUGGGCACGGCUGGGCAGGACGCCCCCUGGGCCGGGAGCGGGCACGGCCGUGGAGGCCCAGUGGUCAGCGUCCCUCGUGCUGCUGCCCGCCUCUGUCCGCCCGUCACGGGGAGGGUGUGCUACUCCCACUGACCGCGGACUUGGCCGUGUGCCCCGGGAUGGUGGUCGCGAGGGGACGCCUGUGGGGCUGGCGGGCUGUCCCGGCGGCUGGGCCAGCCCGGCCUGGCGAGGCCGCGCUUCUCUAUGCGAGUCCUGCUCCCCUGGGGCACCUGGAAAGGGACCCUGGUGGGACGUCUGCGCGGCUGCUCGGCUUUCACUCGGGGGCUCGCCGAGCUGCGGGGCGCCCAGGUGUCCAGGUGGCAUUCAGCUUCCGUGGACGGAGGGGCCGCUUCCUGGACUCCAAAACAGAAGCAUCUAGGAGUCUGACUACAUUUUUUAGUUUCCCCCCAAACCUUUGCCGUCCCCGACGUUCUCUGGGAAGCACCCCCGCCCCCGCGGGUCCUGAUAACAGCCACCCGAGGCCACAGCGACGACGGCCUGCGUGCACUCCUCCCCGCCGGGUGGGGGCCGGGUCUCCUGCUCCCAGCUCCACAGAAAGGGGGUCGCGCUCUCCGUGUUCUUCGGCGGCUCAUUUCUUCAGUCGGGGCUGUGCUGAGGGUCCCCGGUGCUGCCUCACGUGUGGGUUAAUCCCACCGUGUGAACGCCACCGGGAACGAGGAUCACCCUGGGGUUUUGCCCACGUGGCCCUCCGGGGCGAGCUUUCCUGGGGAUACGCGCGGCAGGACGCAGGGAAGGGGGUGUUCACCGUCACCACGAGAGGCCGCGCAGCUUUCCACGAGCCGUGUCCAGUGACGCCCGCAUCCAGCCAGGAGCCCGUGGGCCCCGGCCCCGGCCGUGCUUCCACCUGUGCGAUUGUUGUCACCAGUGUUGCUGUCGGAAAAUCUGCUGUUGGAAAAGUCUUGAGUGUCCGUGUGUGA
rnacentral:lncRNA from 12 species